rnacentral:rRNA from 1 species
CCUACGGGUGGCAGCAGUGAGGAAUAUUGGUCAAUGGACGCAAGUCUGAACCAGCCAUGCCGCGUGCAGGAAGACGGCUCUAUGAGUUGUAAACUGCUUUUGUACGAGGGUAAACGCAGAUACGCGUAUCUGUCUGAAAGUAUCGUACGAAUAAGGAUCGGCUAACUCCGUGCCAGCAGCCGCGGUAAUACGGAGGAUUCAAGCGUUAUCCGGAUUUAUUGGGUUUAAAGGGUGCGUAGGCGGUCGGAUAAGUUAGAGGUGAAAUCCCGGGGCUCAACUUCGGAAUUGCCUCUGAUACUGUUCGGCUAGAGAGUAGUUGCGGUAGGCGGAAUGUAUGGUGUAGCGGUGAAAUGCUUAGAGAUCAUACAGAACACCGAUUGCGAAGGCAGCUUACCAAGCUACUUCUGACGUUGAGGCACGAAAGCGUGGGGAGCGAACAGGAUUAGAUACCCCAGUAGUC